rnacentral:rRNA from 1 species
GACGAACGCUGGCGGCGUGCUUAACACAUGCAAGUCGAGCGGUAAGGCCCUUUCGGGGGUACACGAGCGGCGAACGGGUGAGUAACACGUGGGUGACCUGCCCUCGGCUCUGGGAUAAGCCUGGGAAACCGGGUCUAAUACUGGAUAUGACUCCAUGACGCAUGUUGUGGGGUGGAAAGCCUUGUGCGGCUGAGGAUGGGCCCGCGGCCUAUCAGCUUGUUGGUGGGGUGAUGGCCUACCAAGGCGACGACGGGUAGCCGGCCUGAGAGGGCGACCGGCCACACUGGGACUGAGACACGGCCCAGACUCCUACGGGAGGCAGCAGUGGGGAAUCUUGCGCAAUGGGCGAAAGCCUGACGCAGCGACGCCGCGUGAGGGAUGACGGCCUGG